UUUGUUUCUCUUUUGUUUUUUUACCGUGGUCCUUGAAUAAGGUUUUCCUUUGAAUAAGGUAUUUUGUUUACCUAUUAAAUUAGAAAAAACAUAUUGUAAAUGAAUCUUUUUAUACCCCAUUACAUUUUUAAAUUAAUCCUAUAUAUUAUUGACAUUCUUUCUAAUCUUUAUGAAUUUUAAGAAAUUGUGGUGAUUGAAAAUUUCCCUUUGUGGCGAUGGAUCUUUCCCUUGUAUAUAUAUUUGGUUUUUGUUUUUGUUUUGAUGGUUGGAUCAAGAAGAAGGUUUAUUUUGAAGGGGAGACUAUUAUCUUCAAAAUGUUAUGAUUUAAACUUCAUGUAAUGCUAGUGUUAUUUAUCUUAUUGUAAAACAUUAUUAACAUGGUGUGGUUUUCUUAUGGUCAAUAAUUUCUGUUUUGAUGGUUGGGAUCAAGAAGAGAGUUUGUUUGAAGAUGAUAUUUUAUCCUUUAAAAUGAACCCUCUUAUGGAUCCCAACCAUCAAAACAGAAAAAAGAGGGAAGACAAAAAGACUAAAAAUACGGUUGAAUUUUGUCUUUUCCCUUUUUCUUUUGUGUUUAUGAUUCUAAGGAGCAAAACUGCUUAUGCAUUUCUAGCACUUGAAUCAUUGAUUCAGGUGCAUCGGAACAUAUAGUUUUUCAAAGUUAUUUUCCAUUUACCCCACACGUUCUCAAAAACAAAAAAAGAAGAUUGUUGACGGAUCUUUUUCCUCUAUAGUUGAUCAACACACAAUCAAAAUCAACCCUACUUUGUCUCUAAAAUCCAUGUUGGAUGUUCUUAAUAGCCUUUUGUCUAUAGGAAAAAUCACUAAAGAUUUGAGUUGUUCAGUUAUAUUCAUUUCUUUUGAUUGCAUUUUUCGCAACUUUGUAAUGGGGAGUAUGAUUGGACAUACGAAGGAAAAAAAUGGAUUGUAGGAGCAAGAUGCUAAUUGUAAGACUGGUGUUUUAUGGUCUUCAGGCUUGGUCCCUACCUCUUCUCCAAAAGUUAUUUGAUUUGGCUUUGGCAUAGUCUUCUAGGACAUCUUUCGUUCUGAUUAUUGAAAAAUGUGUUCCCAUCUUUGUUUGAAAACAUUAAUUGCCUUGAUUUUCAUUGGGAAGUGUGUGUUCUUGCUAAGCACCACCUUUACUCAUUUCCAGUAAAAAAUCCGAAACGUCUCUCUCCAUUUUGUUUGAUGCAUUCAGAUGUUUGAGGUUCUUCUCAUGUUACAAAUAAUUUAGAUUUUUGAUGAUUUGUUACAUUUAUUGAUGAUUGCACUUGUUCCACUUGGGUUUAUCUCUUGAAAUCAAAAUCUGAAGUCUCCACUAUCUUUCCUAUUUUUCAUAAAUUUAUGAGUACACAAUUGGGAGUCAAAAUAUAUAUACUCAAAUCUGACAACAGGGAAAAAUACUUUAACAAUGACUUAAUCGCAUUGCUACACUGUUUAUGUGAGCAACCCCUCACAUUUCUCUCUUUUGUACUUGGUUGACUCUCUGCAGCUGAAGAACAUAACGUCAAUGGCUUCACCAAAUGUUGGACAAGAUGUCACUCUACACGAGGUAGCAAUUCUUUUUCCAUGAUUUCAAAUUUUUAUGCACAAUCAGUCUCUAUUUCUUUUAUUUCUUCGAGUUUGCUGGAUUUUCGUUUAGAUAUAUUGGUAAAUUGGGUGUAUUCCGUGAAAUUUGUGUUGACACGAGUUUUGGAUCUCUUGUGUUCUCUUCCUCAUCUUUGAUUUGAGUGGAUCUGCUGUUGUAGAGGGGAAAUCAUUGGGAAAAUGAGAUAUCAGUGAGUGAUUUGUUCUAAUGUUGAUGAUGUGGGUUGGGCGGAUUUUUAUUUGUUGUUUUUGGAACAAUAAUGAAUGAUCCGAAUUUACAAGUUUUGAAAUCGUUUCUUUAGAUCCUUAAUGAAUACUUAUUUUUUGUUAUGAAAUAUUGUAACAGUUGGACAUGGAAUAGACAUAGUUCUUGUGCUGUGAAAAAGUGAACUUUUUUUAAUGCUUUUUCUUGGAUUAGUAUGGCAUUCAACCACCAUCAUUUGGGUGACCCAUCCCGGGCUUACCCAAAGAUUUUAUUUAUCCAAAAUGACCUGAUUCUGAUACCUAUAAAACAAUGAUGAAUUUUUGUUUUCACCACCCUCGUCUAUGCAAGGUAGUUGUCUGCUAUUGUCAGUUAAUUUAAUCCAUUGAAACUGUUCUUUUCUCAUUGGAUGUGUUUUCUGUUCUCUAAGCAAACUAUGAUCAAGGGACUUCUCCCUGGACUUGGACAAUGUGCGUGAAUAGUUAGAUACCGUAUUGCAUCUGAAAACAGUUCUUCCAGACAACUAGAUGGGUGAAAUAAAAAAUUGAGGGAUUGUGUCCCAUAGUGGGCUUGGUUUCUUUUUUCAAAUUUUCUGAAAUAGGACCCCCAACAAACUGUAAAUGAUGAAUUGUAUUUAAAUAACUUGCAAGAGAAUGGAAAGGAAGUGUUUGUGUGACAAGGAAGCCAAGGGAGGGGGGUUGUCAAACCAUCAAAAGUAAGAGUUAGGCUUUGAAUUGUUUAUUUAGGCCAGUGUAUUACAUAACUUCACAGUCUGUACUAAAUCAGCUUCAAAGGCCAAGCCAUGUUCAUGGUUGUGUAAUAUCAUUAGGGCCCAUAAUGGAUGCAGAGUGGGUGAUCAAUGGAGUGUAAACAUGAGUAAAGCUUUUGUCCUUUACAAGGUUGAAACCUUAAUCCAUGUUUUGAAAUGUUGUUGGUGAUAUCUUUUAGUAUAGAGUUUGUUAUUGCAAGGACAUAUCCUGAAUGGAUAUUUAUUUACUAACAUGGCUAUGGUUACAUUGCAGUUUUUUGGAGGGUGAGAACAUAUAGUGGCCCUCUGCAUUUUAGCAUUUCCAAUAAUUAUCUCCUUUUCUGUUUGAUCAUAUUAUGAAUUGGUUUUGGCUGGAAACUUUUUCACUUCAUACUUUGACAUGCAGCACUAUAUGUUGGGUGAUGGGAAGGGAAUUGAGAGUGUGGAAAAAAUUGAAGUUAAGAUCCCAGUAGAUUCGGCUUCUGAGAAUGUUGUAACUGAGAAGAUCGAGGAAACACCUGCUGUUACAAAAGAAGCCACAGAAGCUGCUCCGACUGCAGCUGAAGAAAUUAUUGAGGUCACCUCUGCUGCAAGUCAGGAAGCUACUCCUGCUGCCAAAGACAUCAGUGAAGCUACCCCAGAUGCUGCUGAAGAAAGCAGCAACAAUGUUGAAGAGGAAAACUCGGGUGAUCAAGAAGUUGAACACACAUCGGAAAUAAAAGUCAGUAUGAAUAAAUAAUUUAUCCUUCAAACUUCUUGACUGCAUGUGCCAGCUCCUUCGCCUAAUGUUCCUGCUGUUCUUGCUUCAUCUUUUGAUUUCCUGUUUGUUCUAUUGUGUACUGUUACUGGAUUUCAGCUUGAGACAGCACCAGCAGAUUUCCGUUUCCCGAGUACCAACCAAACAAGGCAUUGCUUUACCCGUUACAUUGAAUAUCAUCGGUAAGUCAAAGUGUUUUUGUGAUUUCCUUUCUCUUAAACUUCACUCCCCGCAUUUAUUAAUUAGACAAAUUUUCUUUGUACUUAUCUGUUCAGGUGCACUGCAGUAAAGGGGGAAGGGGCUUCUGAGUGUGAUAAGUUUGCAAAAUUUUAUCGUUCUCUUUGUCCUGCUGAAUGGGUACGUAUAUUCAUGCUUUUGCAUGUUAAUAGAACCAUACAUGCUUUCUUCUUAGCCUCUUAGGAAAUUUUAUAAUUGUAUCCAUGGCAUUAGCUAUAUUUCUUGUUCAUUUUUCUGCCCAAAGGGAAGGUAUAUUAAAUUACUAAAUGCUUGUUUGGAUACACUUCAUAUGUUUUUUAAAUAGUAAAUAGUAAUUACUACUAUAUAAAAUAUAAUAACUCUUAUAUAAAAAGUAUGAACUUAUGUCCUAUCUUUUAAAAUUCGAGGUAGUAAAAUUUUUUUAAUACUUUAAUUUUUAAACAAUUUUUAAAAGUCAUUGUCUUUUUAAGGUAUUUCUUAAAGGUUGUGAUAUUCCACAUCGGAUUGGGAAAAUUGUUUUUGUUGCUAUAUAUGUAUGAGCUCCUCUUAACUAUGUGGACACGUUUUAAAUUCAUGAGGAUCCUUUGAGCCUAAAGUGGAUGAUAUCUACAUGGUUGGGAGCGAAUUGUUACAAAUGGUUACAAAGUUGAUUCCCGACCUCGGUGUGGGAGUUUGUUUGACCCCAUAAGGGAUGCGUGUUUGUUUUGCCUUGAAAUCCUAUGGGAUACAACGUGGACUUUAUGUCUGCAUAGAAGGGUGAUUGUGAUAUUCCACAUCCGAUGAGGUAAAAAGUUCAUGACUCUACAUAUGUAAAAACUCCUUUUGACUAUGUUGACACAUUUUAAAUUGUGAGGGUCCUUUGCGCUUAAAGCAAAUAAUAUCUACACAGUUGGACAUGAAUCGUUACAAAGAGUUCUUACAUUUUAUAUAGGAGUUAAUGUCAUUUUCUGUUUUCAAAAAUGGAAAACAAGAAGCGUAUCCAAACAACAACUAAAUUACUAAAAUUUUAUAGAGUUUAGAAGGGAAUUGUUUAUUGAAUGCUCAAAAUUAACACUUGAAGGAAAUGAUAAUGUGAUUCUUCUUGCAUCCCACUAUAUUAGCUUUUUAUCAGAUACAUUGCUGAUCGAUUUAAACUGCACACUGUUGCUAAAUGCACUUUCUAAACAACCCAUUAUGGACAAGGAUGAGGGAUGGUCGAACUCUAGUUGUAGUUAUGAAAACAUCUAACUGUAACCAUAUGUUAACAUGAUCAUUGGUUCAAUUGUAUAUGCAUAUGUGAACUGAAUUUUUGAUGGAAAAUCAUGUGCCUAAUUGAUGUAUAAUUCUCAAAAUUAAGUCAUCUUUUAGGUGAUUUGCUUUCAUAACUAUUGUAGUUUGAAAUGCAUGAAGUUUUCUAAUUGCAUUUCAGUUUUAAAAAAGUAAUUCUCAAGUCACUCAUGUUUUAGUUUACAAAAUCUCAGGUGUGGAGAUUUUCUACUUCUUACCUUGGUUUGCCUCUUAGGGCACUUCAUAACUCCUCUGUUGUGUGGGAUGCACUAGAGGAGAGAGAUAAAAGGAGAUUGAUUUCUUGGAAAAAAUAGUACUUAUUCGAAGGAGGAAGAUUAGUCCUUCUGUAGAGUACUCUUGAGUCUCCCAAUCUAUUUUAUGUCUUUCUUUGCAAUCCCUGGAAAAGUGAGGAUUUGAUUAGAGAAAAUUUAAAUAGACUUUUUUAUAGGGUGAUCUUGGGAAUAAGCAUGUAAAAAACUGUUCAAGUGUGCAAUCCUAUUUUGUAGUCUUAAUCUUAACAUAAAAAAGGCUUCUCAUCAUUGCUUUGACCACUCAUUCCUUGCCAACUACCUCCAGGAAAAGACUUGCAUCAUGCCUUUUGACUCACAUAAAUCCAUGAUUUGUAGUAGCUCCAAAUUUUGAACACUAUGUGCAGUGGAGCAUUGUGGAUGUUCUAGUGGGUACCUUGGAGGUGGAGCACAUCUAAUAGCUUGUUUGGGAUAGCUUCCUAUUUUUUAUUUUAGUUGGGAGUUGAGGCUAAGGUCACAAUUUUUAAAAGGGCAAUAUUGGUAUUGUAAAAUUUUAUUAUUAAAAUAAAGCUUCUAUAAGAAGCAACAUUUUUUUGACUUUUAUAUUAAAUUGUUUUUUAAGCCAUAAGCUCUUUGAACAAAAUUAGCCAAACAAGCAUAGAAGCUUUUAUUGCACUUAAAAAAGAGCUUUUAAUUUCUCAAAAGUUAUCCUAAACAAGACCUAAUAUUCUUUACAUUAGGUAAGUUAACUAUUUUUAAAUAAAACUUUAGUAAGGACAAGCAAAUAGCUGCACUAAAGAGAGGAGGCAAUUCGCUUGUCAAAAAACAUAGAUAAACUAGAAUAUCCAAGGAAGAGAAAACAAAAUUCAAAGAGGAGAUGCUUCCAACAAAAACUAAAUUGGAGGCCACACCCUACCUAGGAAUCUUCAUGAGUUGGCUGUUUUUGGGAAGAGAUGUUGCAUAUAAGGAGGUUUACAAGUGAAACAUUUUAUUUCAAUUGAAGAGAGGUUUCAUAAAAGGCUAUCGGUGUGGAAAAGAUAAUAUAUUUUUAUGGAGGGGACACUUGCAUUGAUUAGAAGUAUCUUGUCCAAUCUACCAAUCUAUUAGAUGUCCUUGCUUGUAAUCCCUAGAAAGGCCAAGUUGAUGUUAGAGAAGAUUUAAAAGGAUUUUCUCUGUGGACAUGAGACUCUGGAGAAAAAGCCUCAUUUAGUAAGAUGGUUUGUUGUUUGCAUGGAUAUGAAGAAUGGGAGAUUGGGUUGUACAAGUCUCUUUCUUCUAAAUCGAACUCUCCUUGGUAAGUGGAGUCGGGGAUAUGUUUCUAAAGGGGAUGGUUUUUGGAAGCAAAUUAUAAAGGGAAAGUAUGGGAAGGAGGAAGUGUGUUUGAUACUCUUGCAUGGUGAGAGAUGGUUACGGUGUUGGAGUAUGAAAAGCUAUAAGGAAGGAGUCUGAUAUUUUCGUUACUAGAACCAACCUCCUUUGAAGUAUAUAAUGGUAGGAGGGUUGAGUUUUGGAAGGACAAAUGGUGUGGAAAAAAGCCCUUGUGUAUUUCCUUCCUCUCCUUGUAUGCGAUGAUUGUCUCAGGAGGUUUGGGUGGCUGAUUUAUGGGAAGAUUCAGAAAUGCGGGAUCAUUAGAAUUUGUGCUUUUGUAGGCACUACAAUGAUUGGGAGCUGGACAUUGUUGAGACUUUCUUCUCUAGAUUGCUAGUGAAGUUAGUUAGGAGGAAAGAGAAUGAUAGGAUGAUCCGAAAGGAUUCUUAAAAGGGUGUGCUUUUGGUAAAGUCUUUCUAUUUGGUCUUGGAACUCGAGAGGUCAAUCCCCUUUCAAACAGAUGUCAUUUGUAAUCUGUGAGUCCCAUCCAAAGCGAGUUUUUUUGCUUGGGAAACUAGUUUUUGUGAAAGGGGGGGGGGGGGGGGGGGGGUUGUUUGACAUCAAAUCAGCUUUAGAAAAGAUGGUGGCCGCUAGUGAAUAGAUGUUUUCUUUGUAAAUUUGAGGGGGGACCUAUUGAUCAUAUUCUACUUCACUGUAUCAAGGCAAAGAUUCCAUAACAUUUUUUGUUCUCCUUAAUCGAUGUAGUUUAGGUGAUCCCUUCUUUGUUGAAAGAAACUCUGUUAAGUUGGUAUGAUUCCUUUGUAGGGAGGAAAAGAAAGAAGGCAUGGAGAGCACUCCUCUCUGCAUUUUUUGAACAAUUUUUUUGGGUACGAAAUUGAAGAGAAUUUGAAAAUGAGGAAAAGACUACUCAAAAGUUAAAACUUUCAUUCCGUUGCAAUCCCUCAGCUUGGGUUAGCAUGUCCUUAAGAAAAGACUCGAUGCCUUUGAUUGAUUUUGUACAUUGGGUGAGGUUUUUUGGUGGCUUCUUUUUUGAGGCCAUUCUUUUAGGUGCCUCUUGUACAAGUCCUAUGUACUUUGGGCUACUUUUUUGUUAUUAUAUGUUUUUUCAGUUAGGUCAUUGAUUAUUCCAGAAAGAACUGCUGGAAGCAUUAUUCCCUCAGCUUAUUAGAUUCACCUUGUGACCUGCCAAUGAUCCUCGAUUAGGUUCUUAUAUCCCAAAUAACUGACAGAAGCAUCGUUCUUUAGCUUGUUAGACUCACCUAGUGACCUGCCAAUGAUCCUAGAGAAGCCAUUCAAGUUUGGCCUCAUCAAAAUCUUAAGAGCACCAGAAACCAUAUGGUCAGGCAGAAGUAAAAUCUUCUGAACCCGAAUGAUCAUGAAGCAAUAGUUGUUUAUCUUGUAUAACAUUGGCUCGAUGAUCUAAUUGCAUGAACAUAUUUAUCCAAAAAAUCUCAGUAUCUCACAGCAGCUGGGUACUGAAGAGAAACCAAAAAUGACACAUUUGAAAAAACUAUUGAAAGCCAAUAUUGCAUACUAUGAAGAAUUACAGUAUUAUUUUAAGCCUAAAUCAUUUGAUACUUCUACUUCUCUAUCUCCUUGUAUCCGGAACUUCAUAAUAGGGAACAGGGGAACUAUUGUCAUGUCCCUAAAAGUGAUGAUUGAUGAAAACAUUUGUGUUCUUUGUAAUAGAGUAUGGCUCGCACAUGUAAGAUAAAGGGUCAAUUCUGAUAUAUGGCCAAUCUCCUGAAAUUUGGAACUGCAUUAAUUCUACUCCAGGUGAAGCAAAAUUUGACACAAUGUUCUUAUGGAGUUCUCACAUGGGAACCCGUGAAUCAUGAUCAUGAACUAUAAAUCUUUCUUCUUUAUGUAGAUUAUAUUUUCAUGUUUGAGAUUGCAGACAAUUUCUAUAUAUUUUUUUCAUUCAACUUAGCUCUUUAAGAGUUGCCAUCUAAGCUGACUUUUUUCAACUGUUUUUUGGUUGCAGGUAGAGAGAUGGAAUGAACAAAGGGAGAAUGGCACCUUUCCAGGUCCUCUGUAGAUGGUGCCCUUUCUAAAAAAAAUCCAAAUCCUGUUUCUUUCUUGCCAUUUUAAUAUUCAAGUUGCUCCUGAUUCCGCCAGAUGAAUUUCCUGGUAUAGAAUGGAACAGGACGAGGGAAACUGCUACCUGAAUGAUUCAAGUUAAUAAAAUUUUUGGCUAGGUCUGUUGGAGCUAUUUGUAAUUUGAUGUCUCUUUCUUCCAAUCUUUGAUGCUUCCAGCUGUUUUGGAACAGCAAGAGGUCCUGAAUGUAACCGAAUAAAACUUGAGCAGUUAAAUAUGCUGAUAUAACUUGCUUUCUUGCAUAAGGCACUUUUAUUGUCUUUCAUCAGAUUGCUUCUUCCUCUUUGACAUGCAACCAAUACAGGAAACAAAGCUUUCUAAGUGUGCUAAGGCUUUAUCUAGAAUCGGCUUUUGCCCUUUAUCCUGCUGCAACUGGUUAGUCUUCUACUAAUAUAAAUAGUAAAAGAAAGGCCUGGUUUGAAAAGAGGUGAAGAAGAGGGAGACCCCAAUCCCCAGCAAGGACAGACAUCCUGUGAGAACACCUAUUACGACUAGACUUAACUUGAAGGGCCUACCUUGAUUAGCCUUCCUGGAGCAAAUCAAACUUAUUUUUUGUACUCUAGCUAUAAGGGACAAGAAAGCUACUCUUUUGAGGGGUACCCCCAAUGGAUCGAAGAUAACGGGCUAAUAACACUCAAAUGCUUGCUCUCAGUACUUAUGAUUUAUAGGUUUUAGAGUGGGCUAUUCCUUAUGUGAAAUUAUAAUAGGUAAUGUCCCUGAUAUAUAUAGGAUUAGUUGUAAUUGAUAAAUUAGGUUUUUUUAUGGGUAAAUUUAUUUAUUUUAAAUUUUUGUGGAAUUUUUAUAGAAUGUUUUAUUAAAAUGAUAAAAUUAUAUCCCUCAAUUCCAUUCACUCUUUUUUUGUACCCUUAAAAAAAUUAUUUUGGACAAAAAUGCCCUCAGGUUAAAUAAUCAAAAUAUGGGAGAAAAUGGCUUACUUUUUAAGUUAAAAAUCGGAAGUGAGAAGGAGAGAGCAGGAGAGGCAGAGCGAGAGAGCGCCCCUCUGGAGUCGACCUUUGGAGUGCGCGACGACGGAGAUUUUGCCCUUUUUACUUCUGGUAAUCUCUCUUUUUUUUUCUCAGGUUCCGAUUUCUGCUCCGUUGAUGGAGUUGUUUUCUUUCUAAAUUGGAUUUUUAUGGGAGGUCCUUUAGGGCUCGGGUUUGAAUUUUUGGCUUCUUUGGAUCUGGGUUGUGUUCUGGUGGUGUAUUUCACGAGGGUGGGGGAUUUGAGGAAGAGUGCGAACAAAAUCUGAAAUCCACCCUGGAUGGAUUGGAUUUUGUGGUUUUGAUUAUUUCUCGUUGAUUUGGUUAGAAAUUUGAAGACACAGGUUGAAUAAAACUUGGGAAUUCGGAUUUUUGGGGCUUUAAUUUCAUCUUUUAUAAUUUUGUUUUUAGGAGUGCAUUUUGAUAUUUUUGGAUCUGGCUUGUGUUUGGUUCAUGAGGUGGGGCAAAGCAGGAAGAAAAGUGAAAUAAAACCAGGGACUUUAGUGAUUUGAUUUCAUCUCCCAUUGAUUUGGUUUAGGGUUGGGGUUUGAUUUAUAAGGUAUUUGAUUUGAUUUGUGGUUAGGAAUGUAUGUUUUGAGGAUGGAUUUCUGAAUAAUGUAAGAAAAUUGAAUUAGAUUUCCUCAUUAGUUUCUGAAAAUUUAAUUUUCUUGAGACUUUUUUCUUUAAUUUGUACAAUUUGUUUAAGAAAAUUUAGUAUUGCCCUUUUCUUUCAAUGACACUUGCAUUUGAGCCAAAAUGGGUGUGAUGCAUCCGAAUCUUGAAUUUGAUUCCCUUGAUAUUAGUUUCUGAAGUUUGAUGUUCUGUUUUAUUUAAUAUGCUUUUAGUUUUCUUGGCAUUGGUUUCUGAAAUUUGAACUUCUUUAGAUGUUUUCUUUCAUUUUACUAUUUUUUUAUGAGCAAAGUUUAAAAUGUUGCUUGGGGAAUAACUUUGGCUGAAGAUCCUGGAGUGCUUUUUACUUAAGAACAUAGGAUUACACUAAUUGAUUUCAAUAUUUUGAUUUCUUUCUUAUACUUUUUUACAAUCUAGUUAGUUCUUGAAUAAUUGACAAAAUAAAAUAAAAUAAAUAAAUAAAAGAAAAAAACGAAAAAGAGGAGAGUUUGGAAUAUAGUUUUUAUUUCUUUCUAUUGAUAUUAGAUUUUAAAAUUUGGUAUCCAUUAGACAGUGUCUAAUUUGAAUUAUUUCUUUAUAAAUUGUGUUUCCAAUUUUGUUCUAGGGAAAUCAAGGUUUAUGAUUUAUAGGUUUUAGAGUUUAGAGCUUAGAGUUUAAGCCAUAAGGUUUAUAGGUUUUAGGGUUUAGAUUAUCUAUUUGUUAGAAUAUGUGUUAUUCCUUUGUAUCUUUAUGAAAAUUGAGUUGUCAUUUUGUUUUCACAAAAGUUUUGUAUAAUUGGUGCUUGUGGUUGGAUCUAAUUUGAAGUUACAAGUGUUUGUUCUUUUGAUCACAAGCACUACAAUAGUUUGUUUCUCUUUAUUUUUUUAACCUUGGUCCUUGAAUAAGGUUUUCCUUUGAAUAAGGUAUUUUGUUUACCUAUUAAAUUUUAAAAAAACAUCUUGUAAAUGAAUCUUUUUAUACCCCAUGACAUUUUAAAAUUAGUCCUAUAUAUUACAAACAUUCUUUCUCAUCUUUUUGAAUUUUAAGAAAUGGUGGUGAUUGAAAAUUUCCCUUUGUGGUGAUGGAUCUUUCCCUUGUAUGUAUAUUUGGUUUUUGUUUUUGUUUUGAUGGUUGGCUCAAGAAGAGGGUUUAUUUUAAAGGAGAAACUAUUAUCUUCAAAAUGUUAUGAUUAUAACUUCAUGUUAGGAAGAGGUAUGUAAUGCUAGUGCUAUUUAUCUUAUUGUAAAACAUUAUUAACAUGGUGUGGUCUUCUUAUGGUCAAUAAUUUCUGUUUUGAUGGUUGGGAUCAAGAAG
rnacentral:lncRNA from 1 species